rfam:Oryza glaberrima chromosome 5 Oglab05_0009_21, whole genome shotgun sequence.
AAAAAAACCAAACCUUGUUUUCCGUGUCCAACAUUUGACCGUUGUUUUAUUUAAAAAAAUUAUAAAAAAAAUUAAAAAGAUAAGUCACGCAUAAAAUAUUAAUCAUAUUUUAUCAUCUAACAACAAUAAAAAUACUAAUUAUAAAAAAAUUUUAUAUAAGACAGACAGUCAAACGUUGGCACGGAAACCUAGGGUUUACCUUUUU